UGCAAGGACUGGGAAAAGUGAAAGACCAAGUUCACAAAACUGGAAGGAUGAGAUUGCACCCCGUUUUAAGGUUUCUUCCGAAACAGGAAAACGUGGAUCAACCAGCACAUCACAAAGAACACAAAGGACGACGAACAAUGUGGUGAUAAGAGAUUCAAGCGUUGUACUUCCAAACCCCCAUCUUAGAUUAUUCGAAACCACCACCAGAGAACUAAUGUGGGUG
rnacentral:sRNA from 1 species